rnacentral:rRNA from 1 species
ACUCCUACGGGAGGCAGCAGUGGGAAUCUUGCGCAAUGGGCGAAAGCCUGACGCAGCGACGCCGCGUGAGCGAUGAAGGCCUUCGGGUUGUAAAGCUCUGUGGGGAGGAAAGAAUAAGGCUUGGCUAACAUCCAAGUCGAUGACGGUACCUCCUUAGCAAGCACCGGCUAACUCUGUGCCAGCAGCCGCGGUAAU